rnacentral:rRNA from 1 species
GAUGAACGCUAGCGACAGGCUUAACACAUGCAAGUCGAGGGGCAGCGGGGUAGUGCUUGCACUACUGCCGGCGACCGGCGCACGGGUGAGUAACACGUAUGGAACCUGCCCGCAGCAGGGGGAUAAGCGGAAGAAAUUCCGUCUAAUACUGCGUAAGAACGUUGGGAGGCAUCUCCCGAUGUUUAAAGAUUUAUCGGCUGCGGAUGGCCAUGCGGCGCAUUAGCUAGUCGGCGGGGUAACGGCCCACCGAGGCGACGAUGCGUAGGGGUUCUGAGAGGAAGGUCCCCCACACUGGUACUGAGACACGGACCAGACUCCUACGGGAGGCAGCAGUGAGGAAUAUUGGUCAAUGGCCGAGAGGCUGAACCAGCCAAGUUGCGUGAGGGAAGACGGCCCUACGGGUUGUAAACCUCUUUUGUCGGGGAGCAAAGCGAACCACGUGUGGUUCAUUGAGAGUACCCGAAGAAAAAGCAUCGGCUAACUCCGUGCCAGCAGCCGCGGUAAUACGGAGGAUGCGAGCGUUAUCCGGAUUUAUUGGGUUUAAAGGGUGCGCAGGCGGAGGUGCAAGUCAGCGGUCAAAUUGCGGGGCUCAACCCCGUACUGCCGUUGAAACUGCAUCCCUUGAGUGCGCGAGAAGUAUGCGGAAUGCGUGGUGUAGCGGUGAAAUGCAUAGAUAUCACGCAGAACUCCGAUUGCGAAGGCAGCAUACCGGCGCGCAACUGACGCUCAUGCACGAAAGCGUGGGUAUCGAACAGGAUUAGAUACCCUGGUAGUCCACGCAGUAAACGAUGAACACUAACUGUUCGGCCAGAAUGAUGGCUGAGUGGUACAGCGAAAGCGUUAAGUGUUCCACCUGGGGAGUACGCCGGCAACGGUGAAACUCAAAGGAAUUGACGGGGGCCCGCACAAGCGGAGGAACAUGUGGUUUAAUUCGAUGAUACGCGAGGAACCUUACCCGGGCUCAAACGACACAGGAAUACUUUUGAAAGGAGGUAGCCCUACGGGGUCUGUGUCGAGGUGCUGCAUGGUUGUCGUCAGCUCGUGCCGUGAGGUGUCGGCUUAAGUGCCAUAACGAGCGCAACCCCUAUCGCCAGUUACCAUCAAGUAAAGUUGGGGACUCUGGCGAGACUGCCGGCGCAAGCUGAGAGGAAGGCGGGGAUGACGUCAAAUCAGCACGGCCCUUACGUCCGGGGCGACACACGUGUUACAAUGGCAGGUACAGAGAGAAGCCAGGUGGUGACACCGAGCGGAACUCGAAAGCCUGUCUCAGUUCGGAUCGGAGUCUGCAACCCGACUCCGUGAAGCUGGAUUCGAUAGUAAUCGCGCAUCAGCCAUGGCGCGGUGAAU